rnacentral:rRNA from 1 species
GGAGGGUGCGAGCGUUAAUCGGAAUUACUGGGCGUAAAGCGCGCGUAGGCGGCCUGGUCAGUCGGAUGUGAAAGCCCCGGGCUUAACCUGGGAAUUGCAUUCGAUACUGCCUGGCUAGAGUAUGGUAGAGGGAAGUGGAAUUUCCGGUGUAGCGGUGAAAUGCGUAGAUAUCGGAAGGAACACCAGUGGCGAAGGCGGCUUCCUGGACCAAUACUGACGCUCAGGUGCGAAAGCGUGGGGAGCGAACAGGGAUUAGAUACCCUGGUAGUCCACGCCGUAAACGAUGAGAACUAGAUGUUGGAGGAUUUGCCUUUCAGUGUCGCAGCUAACGCGUUAAGUUCUCCGCCUGGGGAGUACGGCCGCAAGGUUG